CUGGGAAACGGGAAGCAAACGGGAGAGAGGGUGGUUGGGUAAGUCAAUUAUCCUGAUCCAGAUAAUUAUCCUGAUCCAUUGUAAACAUGCUCUUAAAAAAAANCCAAAACAAACAGCAUUCUCUCGGUUACUGGCAGUACCCAACUCAACAGCAAGAGUGAAAGCCAGGGGGAAAGGAAAAGCCAGACGGGGAAGGGGAUAAACUGUGUUCGCCGUUUUUGUCUUUUUAUCGUCCCCGGCAGAAACCAAAAGCUGAAAGCCCUCUGAAAAGAAAGAGAAGCGUUUAAGUUUGUGCAACACGUGUUCACUAAACCCUCAGCUUUCUCCUUACUGCCCGUUUCACGAUGGAUCUUUUGUCCUUUUUCUAGGUUAGUAUUUCCGUUAAUCGGAUGCUGGACAGUUCAAUAAUAUAUCCUUAUUCUGACCUGCUUGAGAAGCAGUAAGAGCUUCAGGCGGUAUCGAUGCCCCGCGCUGUCUGAAGAGGCUCCAGCGGAUUCGUACAGAUUGCGUAAAAGGGAAGCAAAGGAAGGCUGCCGAAAAGUCCUUAAGAAGACGCACGUUCUUGGGGGGCUCUAGCUGAUUUCCGAGGAGUGACACGCACUCCCUCCCCCACUCACUUGGACACGGCUGAAAACUUACUUACGUCCGUCUGUCUCUUUCUCGCCACCCGACCCCGCUGGGGGCCGACGUAGAAAGGACCCUGCGCCUUCCGCAUCGCCUGCCUGAGCGCCUGCUCCACCAGCCGCGGCGGCGAAGGCGUUUCGAAGCCGCGUCGCUGAUGGUGAGCGCUGAGAUCUCCGCCGCGCCGCUCAUGGAGGGGGAGGCACUGUGAGCCACAGGAAGAAAGGGGGGCGGCGGAAGGAGGCCAGUCGGGCGCGAUGCCGAGCUGCUGGGAGCUGGGGUUACAGGUCUGGGUCUACAGGCAUGGACACCGCCUCUAGUCUGGGGUGCCAGUGGAAUGAAGCGCCGGCGCCUUUAGACCGGCUUAUUCCUUGCUGCUGCUGCUGCUGAAAGGGUGAUCUUCGCGGCUGCUGUCUCUUCUCCAACCCCAUCUUUUCUCUCUCUCUUCCACCCCCUAUCCGCUCCACGCCGCCACAGCGGUAACUGUUGGGUCCCCUUCCCUCUCUGCUUUGGGGUUUUUGUCUCUGUUCCCUCCCCCCGCGGCUUCGAGCCGAUCGCACUGAACGCUCCAGAGUCUUCACUUGCCCUUCCAAGCCAUGGAAGCUGCGUUCUCGGGCGAGGGGUUCGUCCCUGCCCUCGACGCUUUGGGGAAAUAAGUUUCCAGCGGCGAUUCGGUGGAGUGAGAGUCCGGCGUUUCAGAGAGAGAUGGGCGAGGGGACAACCCCGGCAAUGGCAAUUAAAAUCCAUCAUGUCAUCUUGGAUNUUGACAAGUAGGACUGGGUGCUUUUUAAUCUCACAGUAAAGGAUCACCUCUACUUGGAAUUUCCUUUUCUUUUCCCAUCAGAGCAAAGCAAGUAUUUGGUGAGUUACAAAUAACUUAGUUUUCUGUUUAU
rnacentral:lncRNA from 1 species